rnacentral:rRNA from 1 species
GAUGAACGCUGGCGGCGUGCCUAAUACAUGCAAGUCGAGCGAACGGACGAGAAGCUUGCUUCUCUGAUGUUAGCGGCGGAGGGGUGAGUCACACGUGGAUCCCCUCCCUAUAAGACUGGGAUCACUUCGGGACACCGGCGCUUAUCCCGGAUAAUAUUUUGAUCCGCAUGGUUCAAAAGUGAAAGACGGUCUUGCUGUCACUUAUAGAUGGAUCCGCGCUGCAUUAGCUAGUUGGUAAGGUAACGGCUUACCAAGGCAACGAUGCAUAGCCGACCUGAGAGGGUGAUCGCCCACACGGGAGCUGAGACACGGUCCAGACUCCUACGGGAGGCAGCAGUAGGGAAUCUUCCGCAAUGGGCGAAAGCCUUACGGAGCAACGCCGCGUGAGUGAUGAAGGUCUUCGGAUCGGAAAACUCUGUUAUGAGGGAAAAACAGAUUUGUAAGUAACUGUGCACAUCGUGACGGUACCUAAUCAGAAAGCCACGGCUAACUACGUG